UACGUAGGUGGCAAGCGUUGUCCGGAUUUACUGGGCGUAAAGAGCGCGCAGGCGGUCGGAUAAGUCGAAUGUGAAAGCCCCCGGCUCAACUGGGGAGGGUCAUUCGAUACUGUUCGACUCGAAGGCAGGAGAGGGAAGUGGAAUUCCUGGUGUAGCAGUGAAAUGCGUAGAUAUCAGGAGGAACACCGAUGGCGAAGGCAGGUCUCUGGGCUGACACUGACGCUCAUGCACGAAAGCGUGGGGAGCAAACAGG
rnacentral:rRNA from 1 species